UACGGAGGGUGCAAACGUUGCUCGGAAUCAUUGGGCGUAAAGCGCACGUAGGCGGUCCGACAAGUCGGGAGUGAAAGCCCUUGGCUUAACCAAGGAAGUGCUUUCGAAACUGUCGGACUUGAAUACCGGAGAGGGUCGCGGAAUUCCCGGUGUAGAGGUGAAAUUCGUAGAGAUCGGAAGGAACACCAGUGGCGAAGGCGGCUACCUGGCCUAAUACUGACACUGAGGCACGAAAGCGUGGGGAGCAAACAGG
rnacentral:rRNA from 1 species